rnacentral:lncRNA from 1 species
UCAAUUGGACUUGAUCCAAAAAUAAUUACUCAAUCAAAUUGAGUUAAUUAUCGAUCAAAUCACUAAUUAAACCUCUCAUAAAUAUUGAGUCCAAAUUCGAUGGGCAAUUGGGCAUCAGAGACCAUCGAUAUGAAACCCUGAUCAAAGAGUUCAAAUUUCAAAUUCAAAAUUUGAAAUUCAAAAUUUUGACCCCGGUACCCAAAAUGUGUGAAACUCAUGAUCAGAGAAUCCUAAUUCUAAAUCAUAGAGUUUCAAACACAUAAGACUCAUAAUCAGCCAUCAGAUCAGAAAGAAAUCUCUAAUGUGUGUGACCC